GAUGAACGCUGGCGGCGUGCCUAAUACAUGCCAGUCGAGCGAACGGACGAGAAGCUUGCUUGUCUGAUGUUAGCGGCGGACGGGUGAGUAACACGUGGAUAACCUACCUAUAAGACUUUUAUAACUUCGGGAAACCGUAGCUAAUACCGGAUAAUAUUUUGAACCGCAUGGUUCAAAAGUGAAAGACGGUCUUGCUUUCACUUAUAGAUGGAUCCGCGCUGCAUUAGGUAGUUGGUAAGGUAACGGCUUACCAAGGCAACGAUGCAUAGCCGACCUGAGAGGGUGAUCGGAUAGACUGGAACUGAGACACGGUACAGACUCCUACGGGAGGCAGCAGUAGGGAAUCUUCCGCAAUGGGCGAAAGCCUGACGGAGCAACGCCGCGUGAGUGAUGAAGGUCCUCGGAUCGUAAAACUAUGUUAUUAGGGAGGAACAUAUGUGUAAGUAACUGUGCACAUCUUGACGGUACCUAAUCAGAAAGCCACGGCUAACUACGUG
rnacentral:rRNA from 1 species